AUUGAACGCUGGCGGAAUGCUUUACACAUGCAAGUCGAACGGCAGCACGGACUUCGGUCUGGUGGCGAGUGGCGAACGGGUGAGUAAUGUAUCGGAACGUGCCCAGUCGUGGGGGAUAACGUAGUGAAAAUUACGCUAAUACCGCAUACGAUCUAUGGAUGAAAGCGGGGGAUCGCAAGACCUCGCGCGACUGGAGCGGCCGAUAUCAGAUGAGGUCGUUGGUGGGGUAAAGGCCCACCAAGCCAACGAUCUGUAGCUGGUCUGAGAGGACGACCAGCCACACUGGAACUGGGACACGGUCCAGACUCCUACGGGAGGCAGCAGUGGGGAAUUUUGGACAAUGGGCGAAAGCCUGAUCCAGCCAUUCCGCGUGCAGGAUGAAGGCCCUCGGGUUGUAAACUGCUUUUGUACAGAACGAAAAGGUUUCUACUAAUACUAGGAGCUCAUGACGGUACUGUAAGAAUAAGCACCGGCUAACUACGUGCCAGCCGCCGCUGUAA
rnacentral:rRNA from 1 species